ensembl:lncRNA
CGGGGCGGGCGCUGCCCCCCGGCGGGAAGCGCGGACUCCGGAGGUCGGGGCGCGGCGGUGCCAGUCCGCAGCGUGCACAUCACUUCUUCACCACCUUCCUCAGAACUGUCUGUGAGAGCUGUCCGAAGCGCUGAACACUGCCCUCUGCUAUGUACAUGUGCUCCUGCAGUCGUAGAAUCAUAGAAUCAUUAAGGUUGGAAAACACUGCUAAGAUCAUCAAGUCCAACCCCAACUCGUCACCCAUUCACGCAGUGCCCUGACACCAUGCUUACAGGUGCUUCCUCCCGGAGCCGGGGAUGCUUGGCUGGAGGAUGCCGUGCAGUGUCUAUGCUGAGAACCCCAUUUCUGUAUGGUGUCAGUGCUGGGCUUCCACCUGCAGCCCCCCAAUGACCUGUGGGGCCACAGUUCCCAUCUGCAGUGAAUGCAUCCCCGUGUGCAUCCCCACACCUCCCAGCUGAUGUCUGCAGGACUGAUAUACAAUCAACCCCUGGGCCGCCUUAUGGGAGGCGAGCGGCUCGGUUCAUUUUGAUGUAAAUUACUAUGAGAACUCUGAGCAAAGGGCAAAAUUAAAGUCUCAUUUUAAUUUUUCCAUAUCUGGUUCAAAGCAACGCCUUUUAGAGCAACCUAUAAAUGGGCACCCGGGUGGGAGCCCCCAGAGGGACGUCCUCUGUUGGUGUCAGUGACGUGUGAGGUGAAUCCAGUUCUGUACCAUCUGGAUGGAAACAUGUGCCCUGAUCCCAUAAAGGCACCUUCAUACCCAGCCUGACUAAUGGCUCUGUUGGCAUUCUGUGGCAUUCAGACCAGGGAAAAUUACUGAGCAGAUAUUUACUAUAUUGUCAAAUUUAUUUUGAACUCUUCAUGUGGGCCUCUCACCACCUCUCUGCUCAGUUAUGCAAUCUUGAAAACCACAAAUUAAAGCCUCUAAACAGACGCAAUAACAAAUUGUGGUAGCUCUGAAGAAACCCCCAGGAAAAAAUAUUGAUCUCUCAAAGCGACCUCUUCAAACUCUGCUGACAGACAAAAGCCUGAGUAAACACAUGGGUUUGCAACCCCGAAUAUCAACAAACUUUGCUCUGCUGGAUCAGAGAGGGCUGUUCCGAGGCAGAAAAAAGCAUUCAGUCUUAUGGAGAGCGCUUAUAACUGUGCAGGGACUGUGGAAUUGACUUUUUCUCUGUUCCCUGGGAACAACUUUGCUUUAUUUUUAUAGCUUGAAGAAAACUCUUGGAUUGGUGUUUCGUAUUUGGCUGUGGAUGGAGCAGGGUGUGGAGGCAUUUUGCUACAGUGGCCCCACUGCUGCACCUUCCUGCCAUAGGAAAAUGCAGAUAUGCUGUGGGGUGCAGCAGGCUGCUGCUGCAGCACAACGAAACGGGGGCUCUGUGUGGCCCUACAACCCACGCGCUGACGCGUUCAGGCCAAGCACGGCGUUUGUUUGCAGCUAUACAAGUGGGAAAGGGUGAAAUUCCGCCUUGGGUUUCGGGGAGGUUUGAAGAUGUGCCACCGCCAUUCGCAGGUUGGUGUGGCGCUGGAUGUGUUUUGGGAUCACUCUCCCUGCACACCGCAAUGGCCGUGCAUCCCAGCAGGGCGCGGGGAUGGGUUGGGCACCCGAAGGCACUGCGUCUUUCUAGGAAUCCCAACUGCUGCUGCUGCUAACGUGGGAACCCCGUCCUCCUGCUUGCCGAAGGGAUGAUGGCGUGUAUUCUAUAAGAGACAAGAUUUACAAUGGCACAUUUGUCUGUGGGUUGUUUUCACUCUUCUGCACACAGCCCGCGGCUCAGCGGUCGGUGACCUUGCCCCUGCAGACGUCCGUGUGUGUCUGCACGCGUGCACACAGAGCUCACAGCAUUUUCCUUCAUGAGAACUCAGUGGCUGUAGUUUUUCUUGAUUUGAUAAGUGCAAUU